AACGAACGCUGGCGGCAUGCCUAACACAUGCAAGUCGAACGAGACCUUCGUGUCUAGUGGCGCACGCGUGCGUAGCGCGUGGGAACCUGCCCUCAUGUUCGGAAUAACUCCCCGAAAGGGGUGCUAAUACCGGAUAAUGUCUUCUGACCAAGGAUUUAUCGCCUUUGGAUGGGCCCGCGUUGGAUUAGCUAGUUGGUAGGGUAAAAGCCUACCAAGGCUACGAUCCAUAGCUGGUCUGAGAGGAUGAGCAGCCACACUGGGACUGGGACACGGCCCAGACUCCUACGGGAGGCAGCAGUGGGGAAUAUUGGACUAUGGGCGAAAGCAUGAUGCAGCACUGCCGCGUGAGUGAUGAAGGCGGUAGGGUUGUAAAGCUCUUUUACCCGGGAUGAUAAUGACAGUACCGAGAGAAUAAGCUCCGGCUAACUCCGUG
rnacentral:rRNA from 1 species